rnacentral:tRNA from 3 species
GCGAGAGUGGCGGAAUUGGUAGACGCACCAGAUUUAGGAUCUGGCGGUUAAUCCCGUGAGAGUUCGAGUCUCUCCUUUCGCACCA